rnacentral:tRNA from 1 species
ACCUGGGUGGCUCAGUUGGUUGAGCGUCUGACUUGGGCUCAGGUCAUAAUCGCACAGGUUCGUGAGUUCGAGCCCCACAUCAGGCU